UUGAUAUUGUGGUUGUUGUUGUUAUUGUAGUGGUGUUGCAGUCGGAAUGGUCACAGCCGCAACAUAUGGUUGUUGAUGAUAAUUCUGGAAACUGUUCCUUCUAACACCUCUGUUCUGAUAGGAAGUCAAAGAAUUCACUCCCCCCUCUCUCUGCUUAUGCCCUCCAAUGAACGGCUUCUUUACCCCUGAUGAAGAUCCACCUCCGUUUUGGAUCUUGCAGGUCUUCAGGUAAUUCUCCACCCUCUCUCCGG
rnacentral:lncRNA from 1 species